GGGUCAGUAGGUUGGUCGUGCCACCGGUACGUACUGGUCUCACUGAUUCCUCCUUCCUGAAGAACCGUAAUGCCAUUAAUUUGGUGUUGCGGGGAAACAGGACUGUUACUUUGAAAAAAUUAGAGUGUUUAAAGCAAGCUAACGCUUGAAUACAUUAGCAUGGAAUAAUGAAAUAGGACGAUCGAUCCUAUUUUGUUGGUUCCUAGGAUUGACAUA
rnacentral:rRNA from 1 species